rnacentral:misc_RNA from 1 species
GAUGAAGAACGCAGCGAAAUGCGAUAAUUAAUGUGAAUUGCAGAAUUUAGUGAAUCAUCGAAUCUUUGAACGCACAUUGCGCCCGCCAGUAUUCUGGCGGGCAUGCCUGUCUGAGCGUCAUUUCAACCCUCAAGCAACUUCUGCUUGGUGUUGGGGAUCGGCCGUCAAACGCCGCCCCCGAAAUCUAUUGGCGAUCUCGCUGUAGCUUCCUAUGCGUAGUAGUAACAUCUCGCAUCUGGAGAGCGGCGCGGUCAUGCCGUAAAACACCCAACUUCUCAGGUUGACCUCAGAUCAGGUAGGAAUACCCGCUGAACUUAAGCAUAUCAAUAAGCGGAGGA